GAUGAACGCUGGCGGCGUGCCUAAUACAUGCAAGUCGAACGGACAGACCAUGAUCUUGCUCCUCUCACGAUAGCCGAAGGGGUGAGAAAAACACGUGUAUCCCGUACCUAUCUGUGUGAUAUCAUUACGGAACUCCGGAUCAUAUCCCAUAUAAUCUCUUGCUCCGCGUUGUGCAAUGGAAAAAUUCGGUUUUUGUGGCUCUUCUAGCUGCAUCCGCGCCGGAUUAGCUAGUUGUUACGUUAAAGGCCUACCAAGGCAACGAUGCGUAAGCGACCUGAGAGAGUGAUAGGCCACACUAGAACUGGAACACGGACCAGACUCCUACGGGAGGCAGCAGUAGGGAACCGUCCGCAAUAGGCGAAAGCAUGACGGAGCAACGCCGAGUGAGAGAUGAAGGUCUUCGGAUCGUAAAACUCUGUUAUUAGGGAAGAACAAAUGUGUAAGGAACUAUGCACGUCUUGACGGUACCUAAUCAGAAAGCCCCGGCUAACUACGUG
rnacentral:rRNA from 1 species